rnacentral:rRNA from 1 species
GACAGAGGGUGCAAACGUUGUUCGGAAUUACUGGGCGUAAAGCGAGUGUAGGCGGUGUGGUAAGUCGGAUGUGAAAGCCCCGGGCUCAACCCGGGAAGUGCACUCGAUACUGCCACGCUAGAGUAUCGGAGAGGUUGGUGGAAUUCUCGGUGUAGAGGUGAAAUUCGUAGAUAUCAGGAGGAACACCGAGUGGCGAAGGCAGGUCUCUGGGCAUUAACUGACGCUGAGGAGCGAAAGCAUGGGGAGCGAACAGG